GGGGAAUUAGCUCAGUUGGAAGAGCGUCCGCUUCGCACGCGGGAGGCCCGUGGGUUCGAAUCCCCGAUUCUCCACCA
rnacentral:tRNA from 1 species